rnacentral:rRNA from 1 species
GACGAACGCUGGCGGCGUGCCUAAUACAUGCAAGUAGAACGCUGAAGGAGGAGCUUGCUUCUCUGGAUGAGUUGCGAACGGGUGAGUAACGCGUAGGUAACCUGCCUGGUAGCGGGGGAUAACUAUUGGAAACGAUAGCUAAUACCGCAUAAUAGUAGAUGUUGCAUGACAUUUGCCUAAAAGGUGCAAUUGCAUCACUACCAGAUGGACCUGCGUUGUAUUAGCUAGUUGGUGGGGUAACGGCUCACCAAGGCGACGAUACAUAGCCGACCUGAGAGGGUGAUCGGCCACACUGGGACUGAGACACGGCCCAGACUCCUACGGGAGGCAGCAGUAGGGAAUCUUCGGCAAUGGACGGAAGUCUGACCGAGCAACGCCGCGGGAGUGAAGAAGGUUGUCGGAUCGUAAAGCUCUGUUGUAAGAGAAGAACGAGUGUGAGAGUGGAAAGUUCACACUGUGACGGUAUCUUACCAGAAAGGGACGGCUAACUACGUG